rnacentral:rRNA from 1 species
GACGAACGCGGCGGCGUGCUUAACACAUGCAAGUCGAACGGAGCGAUUUAUUUCGGUAAAUCGCUUAGUGGCAAACGGGUGAGUAACGCGUAGGCAACCUGCCCUCAGGAUGGGGACAACGGCUCGAAAGAGCCGCUAAUACCGAAUGACGUAACUCUUCCACAUGGAAGAGAUACUAAAGAUGGGUCAAACCAUCGCCUAAGGAUGGGCCUGCGUCUGAUUAGCCAGUUGGUGAGGUAACGGCUCACCAAAGCGACGAUCAGUAGCCGGUCUGAGAGGAUGAACGGCCACAAUGGGACUGAGACACGGCCCAUACCCCUACGGGAGGCAGCAGUGGGGAAUCUUCCGCAAUGGGCGAAAGCCUGACGGAGCAACGCCGCGUGAGUGAAGAAGGUCUUCGGAUCGUAAAGCUCCGUUGUCGGGGACGAAAGGAAAGGGGAGGCAAUGCCCUUUUCAAGACGGUACCCGAC